rnacentral:rRNA from 1 species
ACCUGCGGAAGAGAUCAUUACAGAGUUCCUGCCCUCACGGGUAGAAACCCCACCCUUGUGUAUAUUAUAUUUGUUGCUUUGGCAGGUCGCCUUCGGGCCUAGGCUUCGGCUUAGUCGUGCCUGCCAGAGGACCCUAAACUCUGAAUGUUAGUGUCGUCUGAGUACUAUCUAAUAGUUAAAACUUUCAACAACGGAUCUCUUGGUUCUGGCAUCGAUGAAGAACGCAGCGAAAUGCGAUAAGUAAUGUGAAUUGCAGAAUUCAGUGAAUCAUCGAAUCUUUGAACGCACAUUGCGCCCCGUGGUAUUCCGCGGGGCAUGCCUGUUCGAGCGUCAUUAAAAACCUCCUACCUAGUAGGGUCUUGGGCUUCGUCGCCAGACGGGCCUUAAAAUCAGUGGCGGCGUCGGCCGGCCCUAAGCGUAGUAAAUCUCCUCGCUACAGGGUCCGGUGGAUGGCUAGCCAGCAACCCCAACUUUUCA